rnacentral:rRNA from 1 species
GACGAACGCUGGCGGCGUGCUUAACACAUGCAAGUCGAACGGAAAGGCCUGCUUUCCCUUGUGGAUUGCGGGUACUCGAGUGGCGAACGGGUGAGUAACACGUGAGUGAUCUGCCCCCAACUUGGGUAUAAGCCUGGGAAACUGGGUCUAAUUCCCGAUAGGACUGCAGGGUGGUGCCUGUGGUGGAAAACGAUUUUCUAGUGGUUGGGGAUGAGCUCGCGGCCUAUCAGCUUGUUGGUGGGGUAAUGGCCUACCAAGGCGGCGACGGGUAGCCGGCCUGAGAGGGUGGACGGGCACAUUGGGACUGAGAUACGGCCUAGACUCCUACGGGAGGCAGCAGUGGGGAAUAUUGCACAAUGGGCGGAAGCCUGAUGCAGCGACGCCGCGUGGGGGAUGACGGCCUUCGGGUUGUAAACUCCUUUCGACCGCGAGGAAGCCACCUGGUUGGAAGGGUGGUGACGGUAGUGGUAGAAGAAGCACCGGCUAACUACGUG